rnacentral:rRNA from 1 species
CCUACGGGUGGCAGCAGUGAGGAAUAUUGGUCAAUGGACGCAAGUCUGAACCAGCCAAGUAGCGUGAAGGAUGACUGCCCUAUGGGUUGUAAACUUCUUUUAUACGGGAAUAAAACGAGGCACGUGUGCCUUUUUGCAUGUACUUUAUGAAUAAGGAUCGGCUAACUCCGUGCCAGCAGCCGCGGUAAUACGGAGGAUCCGAGCGUUAUCCGGAUUUAUUGGGUUUAAAGGGAGCGUAGAUGGGUUGUUAAGUCAGUUGUGAAAUGUUGCGGCUCAACCGUAAAAUUGCAAUUGAUACUGGGAGUCUUGAGUACAGCUGAGGUAGGCGGAAUUCGUGGUGUAGCGGUGAAAUGCUUAGAUAUCACGAAGAACCCCGAUUGCGAAGGCAGCUUACCAAACUGUGACUGACAUUGAGGCUCGAAAGUGUGGGUAUCAAACAGGAUUAGAUACCCCAGUAGUC